rnacentral:lncRNA from 1 species
AGCCAGGAGGAGAGCACAGAUGGCUUGGUGGUGGUAUGGUGUGCUCCAUCGGCUGCCAACCUAGGGCCAUCGUCUGCCUCCAUCACCCCUCCGCCCGCCCGCCUACCCACCCAAUCCCAAACGGGUGCUGGAUCAGGUGCUGAAUCCGGCUGCCUCCUCGGGUACCAGUCACUGUGCAUUGCUGUGUGUCUGCCACCGCUGCCUGGCACUCAUGGGGCCGUGUGUGUGUGUAUGUGUGUGUGCGCGCAUGUACAUGUACGCAUAAGCGUGUGCUGUAUGUGAGCCUCCUGGGCAUGGGUGGGGGUUGGCAUUGCGGUUGCCAAUCUAGUGUACAACCAGAAGGACAGAGGGAUGGAGUGGAAGAAGGAGGGGAGAGGCUUGGGGUCUGGGAGGGGAGAAGAGGGUGCAUGAGUUGCUUCAUGCUGCCUGCUUACAGGCAUUGGCAUUGUAGCUGCCACCCUUGUGCCCACGGAGAUGGGAGGAGGCGAGUGGAGGGCGCAGCGGCAGGAGUCCUGUGCUCUGGGAGGAAGGCUUUGUACAUGGGAGCUGUUGGCAUCACAUCUGUCAGGCCGGUGCCCAGAACUGGGGCAAUGGAGACUGGGGGAUCCAGGAAGCAGGGAGGAGGGGCAGAAUGUGUUUCUGAUGUUGCUGUCCCUCUAGAAGCUCAGCUCUGAAAAAUGGUUGGAGUAUGAGGUGAUUAGUGCUCUUCCAGCUUGAGGAAGUAAAGUGGUGGAGAGAGUAGCCAGGGAAGUGCCAAGAAACAGUCUACGAGCCAGGGAGGAGGGAGUGUGCCACCGUACCCAGGGAGAACUUGUUGGGGCUGGCAAUCUGGCCCUUUGUCAGAGUAUUGAAGGAGACAGCAAGAGGACCAGAUGUGAGGUGGGUGGGUGCUGGCACUGCCCAUGGCACCUGGCACAGGCUCUGGCAUUGUGUGGAACAGGGGAGGUUGACAGUGCCUCUUGCCAAUCUGGUUGAGAGGGCUAUUGUGCCAGGAGUGAGAAGGAAGGAGGUGAAACAUUUCGGGAGGUGGGGUGUUUGGGAGACCAGAUUUUUUUCUGCCAGGUCCUCCUUCCCCUUCCCUCUUAGGCAUGGGGAGUGGAGCAACAGACGGAGAGUGGCAUGAAGACACAAAGGAGGAAGCACACCAUUGCCAAGACCCCAAGGAAGAAGGAUGGAAAGCGCUGGCAGUCCUGCCUGGCCCCCAGCCAGUUCCCUGCUGAAGAUGGCCAGAUCCCCUUGUCUGGUCUGUAUAUGCCACUUUUGCUGGGGUGGAAGGAGGGAAGGGCUGGCUUGCUGAGCUGGGCUCUAGAAUGGGAAGGGUACCUUUCUGCAGAUCCCAUUUGGACUCUCCACUUGAACAAGUGAGGUGUCUGAUUUUCUUCUUCGGUACCUUCCUCUCCUCCCCCUCCCUUCGCCUCACCCCGCUUUCAUCUCUCAUCACCACCUGGGUCCUACUGCUUGGCACCCAACCAACUGGAUGCUGCCACGUUUGGCAGUGCUGCACUGGCACGUGAACAGUGUCUCAGAUCCUGGCACUGCAGCAAACCCAAAGCCACCAAACAUGCUCAUGAUGCCACUUGGCAGCAGUCAGAGAGAGGGGGCUGUGCACAUAGUGGUGGCCAGGCAUUGGGUGGAGCUCUGUGCAGGGAACUGGCAUGAGAGGAUGCCCUUAACAACUGGGCUGAGUCAGCACUCCCUGGUCAAUCUCAGCUCUGCCUUCCUCCCAACUAGAUAUCCACCUCCUUCCUACCCUUAUUGCCCCCACGAAAGGGAUUUAGAUGGUACCAUAUUGAGUGUUUGAGCACCAUGCGAAAGGAAACAAGCACAGAGGGACAGGCUAGAGCACAGGCUGUAGACACACCCAAGGCUCCAGGCUAGUGGACCAUACAUAUCCUUGGACAACAAGAACAACAACAACAACAACAAAACCCUAGGAGAGCAAAAGGAGGUGGAGAGAGGGACACCAGCUGUGUUGUUACCAGGAUGGCACAAGAAGAGAUUGGAAGGGAAGUAGGAAGGAGUGACCCUCAGACCUUGCUCUUGGGUGAUGGGGUGGUUUGUACUUAUGCAUAUUUCAUUCUGCCUUGUGCCUUGUGAUUUGCUGAGCUGUGGUUGAGAUGAACUGGUUCUUUCUCCCUUGUUAAAAGGUCCAUAUUCAAUAAUAGUCCUAGAAAGAUGGAAAGGUGCUCUAGGCCUAGAGAGGUAGACAGGUGUUAGGAAGACAAAGGGACUUGUCCUUCCAGAAAGACUAUGCAAGGCACCCAGUUAGAGUUGGAUAGAUUUCCAUAUCUUUGAA